AUGAAGAUUAGUGGAUGGAAAGAAAAGUUGUUAUCGGCUGGUGGAAAGGAAAUUUUGCUUAGGUCUGUUGUUCAAGCUAUCCCAACAUAUGGAAUGUCCGUCUUUAAAAUUCCUAAAAAGAUUUGCAAAGGAAUCAUAGACGCGAUGUCGCAAUUCCGGUGGGGUGACGAGGAUAAUCAGAAAAGGAUGCACUGGAUGGCGUGGUGGAAGAUGUAUGUUCCAAAAGACCACGGUGGAAUGGGUUUCCGUGAUAUACACUGUUUUAACCUGGCUUUGUUAGCGAAACAAGCAUGGCGCCUCUUGGAAAAUCCUGAAUCGUUAUGUGCAACAAUCCUAAGAGCAAAGUAUUUCCCGGAGGGCGAUUUG
rnacentral:rRNA from 1 species